rnacentral:rRNA from 1 species
UCGGUGAGGCCGGGCACUCUGGAUGGGACUGCCGGCGACAAGCCGGAGGAAGGUGGGGACGACGUCAAGUCAUCAUGGCCCUUAUGUCCAGGGCGACACACGUGCUACAAUGGCCGGCACAGCGGGAAGCGAAGGGGCGACUCUGAGCGGAUCCCUUAAAGCCGGUCCCAGUUCGGAUUGCAGUCUGCAACUCGACUGCAUGAAGUUGGAAUCGCUAGUAAUCGUGGAUCAGCCAAGCCGCGGUGAAUACGUUCCCGGGCCUU